UACGGAGGGGGCUAGCGUUAUUCGGAAUUACUGGGCGUAAAGCGCACGUAGGCGGACUGAAAAGUCAGAGGUGAAAUCCCAGGGCUCAACCUUGGAACUGCCUUUGAAACUCUCAGUCUUGUGGUCGUGAGAGGUGAGUGGAAUUCCGAGUGUAGAGGUGAAAUUCGUAGAUAUUCGGAGGAACACCAGUGGCGAAGGCGGCUCACUGGCACGAUACUGACGCUGAGGUGCGAAAGCGUGGGGAGCAAACAGG
rnacentral:misc_RNA from 1 species